CCUACGGGUGGCAGCAGUGAGGAAUAUUGGUCAAUGGGCGGGAGCCUGAACCAGCCAAGCCGCGUGAGGGAAGAAGGUACAGCGUAUCGUAAACCUCUUUUGUCAGGGAGCAAAGGCCGGGACUAGUCGCCGUAUGAGGGUACCUGAAGAAAAAGCAUCGGCUAACUCCGUGCCAGCAGCCGCGGUAAUACGGAGGAUGCGAGCGUUAUCCGGAUUUAUUGGGUUUAAAGGGUGCGCAGGCGGCAGGUUAAGUCAGCGGUAAAAGUCCGAGGCUCAACCCCGUCGAGCCGUUGAAACUGGUGGGCUGGAGUGGGCGAGAAGUAUGCGGAAUGCGCGGUGUAGCGGUGAAAUGCUUAGAUAUCGCGCAGAACCCCGAUUGCGAAGGCAGCAUACCGGCUCUAAACUGACGCUGAGGCACGAAAGUGUGGGUAUCGAACAGGAUUAGAUACCCUGGUAGUC
rnacentral:rRNA from 1 species